ensembl:lncRNA
CUAGGGGUCAGCUUCCGCCGCAACCUUGCAGACCUUACGCUUUUUCAAUUCAUCAGGACUAUCACUUGCCCUUAUUUAUGUUCAAAACAAAAAUUUCCAUUAGGAAAAAAAUAUUACAUUCCACAAUUGGUUACUGCGAUGGUUCCUCAGGACAUUUGUCCGUUUUCAGUGUCUAGCUGUGACAGGCCAGUUGGGGCAGCAUGUUGCCCAGCUAGAGGAACCAUAGCCCAUCUGUUGACAUCAUGCGUUCCCAAAGAUGACAUGCAUGGACCGUGUUACCUCCUCGGCCUCCAACCCAAGGCAGAACGUCAGCGUUUUCUCUGGAUCCAUGACGGGAGACGGAUACCGGCGCAAAAUACAAAACAAGGUACGAUACGUGACCCGGGAUGUUAUUAUUCUGCUAUGCCCCCAUCUCUCUCCCACUCCUCAGCCGUGGCCUCCCCUCUCGCCAUUCCUCCUCCUGAGCGUGAAAAACCCCGCCAGCCUCCUAGAUGCUGCUGUGGAAAAAGGCGCCAAUCCCAAAACGUUAUUUGGCUCAGACCGGAAACUAUUCCGAUGAAAACGUCACUACGGUCGCUCGCCCGAUGUUUGUUAUAUUUACGAAAUCGUACGCUCUACUAUUUUGGAGAUAAGGACGGGGAUGUGUGAUGUCAUGUGUUUCCAGCCCACAAAC